UCCAGAAAUUCAAGGCCCUAGAGCAGAUUU
rnacentral:piRNA from 1 species